rnacentral:rRNA from 1 species
GACAGAGGGUGCAAACGUUGCUCGGAAUUACUGGGCGUAAAGCGCGUGUAGGCGGUCACGCAAGUCAGGUGUGAAAGCCCAGGGCUCAACCCUGGAAGUGCACAUGAUACUACGUGGCUGGAGUACUGAAGAGGAGAGCGGAAUUCCCGGUGUAGAGGUGAAAUUCGUAGAUAUCGGGAGGAACACCAGUGGCGAAGGCGGCUCUCUGGGCAGAUACUGACGCUGAGACGCGAAAGCGUGGGUGAGCAAACAGGA